rnacentral:tRNA from 1 species
GGCCUCUUAGUCAAGCAGGAUAAGACACCGGGCUUUCAAUCCGGAGGCGAGGGUUCAAGCCCCUCAGAGGUCACCA